rnacentral:rRNA from 1 species
UGUAAGCGUAUACCAAAGUUGUUGCAGUUAAAACGCUCGUAGUCGGAAUUUGGCAGUUCCGGAUGUGUGCACGUCGUGUGCGCACUUCGCGGGGAUUGCUUUUGUGGUCUUGCGUAGGAUGAGGCACUUUUAUUAGUGAACGUCCUCACGCAACCACUUUUUACUGUGAGAAAAUCAGAGUGCUCAAAGCAGGCAUUUGCCGAGAAUGUAUUAGCAUGGAAUAAUAGAAUAGGACUUGGUUCUAUUUUGUUGGUUUGUUGGGACUGAGUAAUGAUUAAGAGGGACAGUUGGGGGCAUUUGUAUUUCGGUGCUAGAGGUGAAAUUCUUAGAUUACCGAAAGACAAACUGCUGCGAAAGCGUCUGCCAAGGAUGUUUUCAUUGA